CCAAAGUUGUCAUGGUUCCAUUAUUCCAGGGGUGAGAUUGUCCAAAUUUUCUCUCUUCUGAUAAAAGGGGAGGAUUCAAACUCCCUCCCCUUUUCCUCCUUCCAGCUCACCAAGGCAGAGAUACCUCAGAAGUACUUUAUGUUUUAAAAAUUGUGAACUACAAGACUUCCCACCUCAAGCAAUUGAGGGACUGGCUGACGGUUCUUUAUCUGCUCUUUAUGUUCUUGAAAGAGUAUUCAAUUAGGAAGUGAGGAGACUGGCUUUGCCACCAACUCAUAAUCAUGAAGGUCCGAAAAAGCAGCUCAGAAGGCAAGUGGUUUCUCAAGGUCCACAGUGGGACUUCAGCCUCAUUUAUUAAGCAGCAGAGUUUUAGAAGUCUUAAUGCAGAAAUGAGUAAAGACCAAGGGGUGAAUGAAGACAGGGUUCGUCCCCCUC